AUACCUUUCUCGGCCUUUUCGCUAAGAUGAAGUGUAGUGUCCGUUCUUUUCAGUUUAAUAUCUGAUACGCGUAUCAAUGAUCCACAUGUUAUUAAAUUAAUUUUUCCAGAGGAGGGUCCACAACCGUAGCUUGCUACUGGAUCCCUCGUGUAUCGAUCUUGCUUUGCACCACGGCAUGGGUCCCCUGGUACACCUCUC